CGUACAGGGGAGCCCUUCGGCUGAGAGGAAGCGCGAGCUUCGACCCUUAACCUGAUUCGGAUAAUGCCGACGUAGGGAGUAAGAGAAUU
rnacentral:ncRNA from 1 species